CUGUAUCAGUUUUAUUAUAACCUUCCUUACUGCAAACAUUUAAGAAAUUAAUCAAUGCGAAAGUAGUGCCUGUCUGGACGAUACUACCCUUAAAGAAAAACAAAUUGUUGUUAUCGUCUUGUCCUGGGUAUACACUCUCUUUACUCUGAUAUAUGCAGCAGUUAAAAUUGAUGCGGCUGCCUCUUCGUCUAAUAUGCUACAAACAAGAAGCGAAAAAGACGCGUGUAUUGCAUACAUAGUCAUAUUGACAUUGACGUGCUUACAAAUUGUAGGCGCCAUAUUUCUUACAGUCGGUUUUUGCUGUGUAGAAGAUUAUUUUGUUUUAUACAGGUAGCAGAAUCUCAGGUAGAAGUUUGCAUUGCGCAAAGCGGUUCAAACCAAUACGUCGGGCUAGGGUUCGCGGCUUUGUUCUAAAAUUUUCAAGAGUUACCAGUAAUAUUCCCACUGAGCAUUUUGCAAGAAAAGCCAGUUCUCGAAAAGAAUAUGGCAUAUUGGAGCCGGGUUAACUAUGAAAAGGCUUGGCGAAUUGGGGUUUUCGUAAAUAUUAAUAUCCUACAAGAGAUGAACAAUAUUUUGUAAAGUAGGCGAACGUUUGAGACUUCACCAAUUUUCAAUAAGCACGCAAAUGCUUAGCAUUUACGCAUUAUAGAAAAAAUAGCCGACCCUAACUAAAUCGACAAUAACCGGAUUCCAAACAGAGAUCAAAAUUUUUCCGUUUAAAAUGUGCCAAUGCAAUGCGUGCGAAUAUUUGGAUACGUGCUGUUGUUCAACUUUGAAAUCAAAACAAAUUGUUUUUAUCAUCUGGACGUUAACACAUUCCCUAUUGUCUUUUCUACUAUCACAUAUGAUUGCCUGCGGGUUCCUCAAAGAGACGCAUUUGGUUAUCUACGCAUAUUUUGCAAUAUCCGCUGUACAUUUACUGGGUGGAAUCCUUCUUGGAAUAGGCUUUUUUUUUGUAGAACUUAGCCCCCACGUAUCUAGCUGGCAUAGUUAUAAGUUCAAUAUCACCCUUCUCUCUACUGGGUUAUUUAGCAGUUUUCCAAAUCUUUUUCAUUAUAUUCGCCUGUCGGUAUUAUACCUUAGAGCUUAAAAAAUAGCAUUCGUACUAAAUUACUCAAAGUUGCCUGUGUUAUCUGUAACCAUAAUUUACAAUCUGUUAUCAAAUUAUCAAUGUAAGACCUUAAAUAA